AGCCGUCCCACCGGGUGAAGCCAAGCGCUGAAGGUCGCAGGGGAGGCAGGACAGAGGGCCGAGGCCCCGCCCGACGUGUUGUAUCGGCCAGUUACAGGCGUCCAGAGCUUUAAACUGGAGGCGGGAAUUCACAGAUUAAGGGCAAACACCAACUUCAGACCUUAAAGUAAGGGACCAUUUAAAUUAAUAUACGGAUAACCAGUGUCAACGCAAUAAAGCAGGGUGGACUGAGAGCAGUGUCGAUCUAUAUACAAUAUUACCUUUGCUAUAAACCCAUUUAUUUCUCCCCCAAACUUAUGAGGGAGGUUCAGCCCUGAUCCUCAUUCUGCACAAGAAGAAACUGAGAUAGAAAGAGACCCAUCUCAAAUCCUUUGUGAAAUGAAGGGGAAUAUAAUCAAGCAAGACAAUCGUCAAUCAAACAGAAGCCACCUGCACUUCAGCAAGAAAGAUGGUGGUGGUUACUUUUCUUUCCUGGAGCUUCUGGAGCUCAGCACCUCUGAUUGGCUCUGAUGGGCAGACUCUGAGCCCUUUCCUUCCUGCAGGCGCUGCUUUUCGAGACAUUAACCCCAAUUUGAGAUCCUUGAUUAAGACUACACAGAGUCCUUUUUCUGGAAGAAACUCACUUCUGACUUCAUUUCCUUGUUGUUUCUGCAUUUUUAU